rnacentral:rRNA from 1 species
AGCGAACGCUGGCGGCAGGCCUAACACAUGCAAGUCGAACGGAUCCUUCGGGAUUAGUGGCGGACGGGUGAGUAACACGUGGGAACGUGCCCUUUGGUUCGGAACAACUCAGGGAAACUUGAGCUAAUACCGGAUGUGCCCUUCGGGGGAAAGAUUUAUCGCCAUUGGAGCGGCCCGCGUCUGAUUAGCUAGUUGGUGAGGUAAAGGCUCACCAAGGCGACGAUCAGUAGCUGGUCUGAGAGGAUGAUCAGCCACAUUGGGACUGAGACACGGCCCAAACUCCUACGGGAGGCAGCCGUGGGGAAUCUUGCGCAAUGGGCGAAAGCCUGACGCAGCCAUGCCGCGUGAAUGAUGAAGGUCUUAGGAUUGUAAAAUUCUUUCACCGGGGACGAUAAUGACGGUACCCGGAGAAGAAGCCCCGGCUAACUUCGUGCCAGCCGCCGCCGUAAAAC